AUCGCUUCUCGGCCUUUUGGCUAAGAUCAAGUGUAGUACAUUGGUAAAUUCAUAACAUUCCUGUGGUUUGGGCUUCAGUUAUGUAGACUUGGAAAAUUAGUUUCAUCUGUAAACUGAGAAUGUGUCCCUAGCCCCUUGGGGACAAUUUCAGUCUAACUUAU
rnacentral:snRNA from 1 species